rnacentral:misc_RNA from 1 species
AAGUCGUAACAAGGUUUCCGUAGGUGAACCUGCGGAAGGAUCAUUAACACUCCAAAACUUUUUCUCAUAGCUCUGGGAAACCAGAGUUUAUGAAACCCUAUUCACUACUGCGAACCCGGCCAGAUGGAAGGAGGGGUGGUUCUUUUCCCUGGUGGAACAAAAACCACAAAACACCUCAUCCAUCUAGCUACCUUUUUUUUUUCUUUUGUCCAAUUUUUCCUUUUUAAACCCCAAUCAUUAUUAUCUUUUUUCGGUCUGACUGGAAGACUCUCUCGGGUCUUCCGUUGCUCUUCUACUCUAACCAGUGAAGGCAAUGAAAACUGCUAUUUUAAAAAAAACAAAAAAACAACUCUUAGCAACGGAUAUCUUGGUUCUC